rnacentral:rRNA from 1 species
CCCAUGUGAACCUGCGGAAAGAGCUUUAUGUAAUUGCCCACAUAACUUGUUGCUGGUCCUCCAUGUUGACUUGUGCACGCUCUGUUUACACAUCCUUUCACACCUGUGCACCCUCUGUCGUUCUGUGGCUUGGGGCCUCUGUCCUCCUGCUGGGGUUCUAUAUCUUUACACACACUCUGUAUUAAAGUCUCAUGGAAUGUACACCGCGUUUAACGCAAUACAAUACAACUUUCAACAACGGAUCUCUUGGCUCUCGCAUCGAUGAAAAACGCGCUCAAAUGCGAUAAGUAAUGUGAAUUGCACAAUUCAAUGAAUCAUCGAAUCUUUGAAUGCACCUUGCGCCCUUUGGAUAUUCCCAACGGCAUGCCUGUGUGAGUAUCAUGAACACAUCCCCUCUUCUUGGUUUUCCAUGAAAGGCUUGUACUUUGGGAGUCUUGCUGGCCUGUAGUCAGCUCCUCUCAAAUGAAUCAGCUUUCCAGUGUUUGGCAGUGUCACAGGUGUGAUAACUAUCUACGCUUGUGGUUUUCUGCCAUUCAAUCCUCACUGAUGGGGGUUCGCUGGGGCUUACAAAUGUCUCUCCUUAGCGAACACAGCUUGGUGAACAUUUGAUCUCAAAUCCCGUACGACUACCCGCUGAACUUAAGCAUAUCGAUAAGCGGAUGAAAGUGCGAAUUCUCUCG